GCCCUCUCAGGAUCGUACCUGGAGAGUUUCCAGUACUCUACCAGUCUCGAUUAUGGGAGGGAGAGUCAAGCAGAGGCCUACCCAUUCCAGUCCUAACUUGGGCAGUAGCUAGUGAGAGGAAGGUAAUCUGCUAUAAGU